GACGAACGCUGGCGGCGUGCUUAACACAUGCAAGUCGAACGGCAAGGCCCUGCUUGCCUGGUGUUCGAGUGGCGAACGGGUGAGUAACACGUGGGUGAUCUGCCCCUUACUUUGGGAUAAGCCUUGGAGACUGGGUCUAAUACUGGAUAGGACCAUGCUGUAGGGGGUGUGGUGGUAAGAUUAGUUUCGGUAGGGGAUGAGCUCGCGGCCUAUCAGCGUGUUGGUGGGGUAAUGGCCGACCAAGGCGUCGACGGGUAGCCGGCCUGAGAGGGUGGGCGGCAAGGUCGGGACUGAGAUGGGACGCAGACGCCUGCGAGAGGCAGCAAUGGGGAAUAUCGCACAAUGGGCGCAAGGCUGAUGCAGCGACGGCGCGUGGGGGAUGACGGCCUUCGGGUUGGAAACACCUUCCGGCCAUGACGAAGCCCUUGUGGUGACGGUAGUGAUAGAAGAAGCACCGGCUAACUACGUG
rnacentral:rRNA from 1 species